rnacentral:rRNA from 1 species
UACGUAGGGUGCGAGCGAUAAUCGGAAUUACUGGGCGUAAAGCGUGCGCAGGCGGUCUCAAAAGUCUGAUGUGCAAUCCCCGGGCUCAACCUGGGAACUGCGUUGGGAACUUUGAGGCUAGAGUGCGGCAGAGGGAGGUGGAAUUCCACGUGUAGCAGUGAAAUGCGUAGAGAUGUGGAGGAACACCUAUGGCGAAGGCAGCCUCCUGGGCUGACAUUGACGUUCAUGCACGAAAGCGUGGGGAGCAAACAGG